AGUAACCUGCCUUGGAGGUGGGGGAUAAACAACAAGUGAAAAUUAGUGCUAAUACCGCAUAAUGCAUUUGGAUCGCAUGGUUCUGAAUGCCAAAGAUUUAUCGCUCUGAGAUGGACUCGCGUCUGAUUAGCUAGUUGGCGGGGCAACGGCCCACCAAGGCGACGAUCAGUAGCCGGACUGAGAGGUUGGCCGGCCACAUUGGGACUGAGACACGGCCCAG
rnacentral:rRNA from 1 species